rnacentral:lncRNA from 10 species
AUGGGGAACAUACUGACCUAUUGUGUGCGCCCCAGUGACCCUGAGUUUGACCAGCAACAGGGGUCCGUGUGUCCCUCUGAAUCUGAGAUCUAUGAGGCAGGAGCUGGGGACAAGAUGGCAGGAGCUGGGGACAGGAUGGCAGGGGCACCCAUGGCUGCUGCUAUGCAGCCUGCUGCGGUGACUGUCGAAGUUAGUGAGGACCUCCACAUGCACCACAUCCAUGACUGGGAGAUGCCUGAAGCUUUGGAGUUUAACCCUUCUGCCAAUCCAGAGGCAAGCACAAUAUUCCAGAGGAACUGUCAAACAGAUGGUGAGACAACAUUGUCUGUAGCUCUGUGUAGUAUCCUAUGGGACUUUGCUGAGGCUUCUUUGGACCAUUCUCUUCCUUUUCUCAAUAAAAACUCAAAUAUCCCAACUUUCCAGUACCCAUCUUAUUUUUUCUUUGUACCUAUCCAGAUGGUACCUAAGUGAAGGAACCAGGUAAGUGCCUAAUUGUUUCCUUUGUUAAAGUAGCUAAAUCUCAGGACAGUUCAUAUUCAGAUAUUCGGGGAUUUCUUAUUUAAAAUCAGAAUAGAGGUUGCCAUGGGAGAGGCAGUAUGGUAUUCUUAAUGGGCUGCUGUAAGUCACCUUGAUAGAGGCUGCUGAGUUUCUUCUAACUGUAAUUUGAACACAGAAGUGGGGGGAAAGAGGGUGUUUAAAAUAAUUGUGAAAGGUGCAAAAUGUCACGACCAGGGAGGCAGAGAAAUGGCUGUGUGUGUGUGGGGGCGGGUAGGGUUUGUCAAAGAAGUUUGCCCAUGAGGCUCUGAUGACUUUAAAAUUCUUACUUUAACACAAAAUGUGUCUCCAGAUUUAUUCUGGUGACUUAACAGAUUUUAUUUACCUCCUUGUUCUAAAAGAUAGGUGAGGUUCAUGGUCAAAACUUUCAAAAGACAUGAAACAUCAAUGUAGACUUUUAAUGUGUAAUAUAAAAAUUGCAGGUUAAAAUCUCUGACCUUCCCUGUAAAGAGUGAUUGUUGCCAUGGCUUCCCCUUUGUCCUUUCCCCUCCUGACAAUAGCAUCUUGUUCAAAGAUAAGAAAAUUGGAGUUUUGCCCAGGCAUGGUGGCUUACGCCUGUAAUACCACCAUUUUGGGAGGCCGAGGCAGGUGGAUCACCUGAGGUCAGGAGUUCGAGACCAGCCUGGCCAACAUGCUGAAACCCUGUCUCUACUAAAAAUACAAAAAUUAGCCAGGUGUGGUGGUGCGCACCUGUAACCCAGCUACUAAAGAGGCUGAGGCAGGAGAAUUGCUUGAACCCGGGAGGCAGAGGUUGCAGUGAGCAGAGAUCACGCCAAUGCACUCCAGCCUGGGUGACAGAGCAAGACCCCAUCUCACAAAAAAAAAAAAAAAAAAAAAAAGAAAAAAAGAAAGUUGGAGUUUUUCAGUCUCUAUCCUUAUGGGAGAGGCAGGGGAUGGGUGGUGGUAGAAAAGAGAAAACAAUUAGUUGAUUUGCCUCUAAAAUUUUGCAAAGAGAUGAAUCUAAGUAAAAGUAAUUCUGGGUAGUAAUAUAGUUCUUGAAUAAAAACUAAAAUUUUCUUGGAAAACAUUACAUCACAACGAAAUUAAAUCCAGUUGGCUUAUUGGUUUCAUUUAAAUGCCAGAGAUUUCAUUCCUGUAGAGGAACAUUCCUGUAGAGGAAAUGUCUUGUAGCUCUUCUAUUUAAACUUUGGUUGGGCUUUUAAGUUUUUAAAAAGUAGGAUAAUUAAGACUCAUGAUGAGUGUGA